rnacentral:tRNA from 1 species
GGUUCCAUAGUGUAGCAGUUAAUACAUCUGCUUUACAUGCAGAAGGUCCUGGGUUCAUGCCCCAGUGGAGCCA